rnacentral:rRNA from 1 species
UACGAAGGGGGCUAGCGUUGCUCGGAAUCACUGGGCGUAAAGCGCACGUAGGCGGCUUUCUAAGUCAGGGGUGAAAUCCUGGAGCUCAACUCCAGAACUGCCUUUGAUACUGGAGAGCUUGAGUCCGGGAGAGGUGAGUGGAACUCCGAGUGUAGAGGUGAAAUUCGUAGAUAUUCGCAAGAACACCAGUGGCGAAGGCGGCUCACUGGCCCGGUACUGACGCUGAGGUGCGAAAGCGUGGGGAGCAAACAGGG